rnacentral:rRNA from 1 species
GCUUACAGGCCAACCUCCCUGAGGCACAGCCCGAUCUCGUCUGAUCGCGGAAGCUAGCAGGGUCGGGCCCGGUUAGUACUUGGAUGGGAGACCGCCUGGGAAUACCAGGUGCUGUAAGCC